GGAGUUGUGGUUCAGUGGUAAAGUGCUUUCCUAGCAUGAAUGAGGCACUACGUUCAAUCCUCAGCACCA
rnacentral:tRNA from 1 species